CCUACGGGCGGCAGCAGUGAGGAAUAUUGGUCAAUGGGCGGGAGCCUGAACCAGCCAUGCCGCGUGAAGGUGAGUGCCCUACGGGCGUUAAACUUCUUUUGUGCGGGAGCAAUAAGGGUCACGCGUGGCCCGACGAGAGUACCGCACGAAUAAGCAUCGGCUAACUCCGUGCCAGCAGCCGCGGUAAUACGGGGGAUGCGAGCGUUAUCCGGAUUUAUUGGGUUUAAAGGGUGCGUAGGCGGGGCGUUAGGUCAGCGGUGAAAUCCCCGGGCUCAACCGCGGAGGUGCCGUUGAUACAGGCGUGCUGGAAUGCGGAUGCCGUCGGAGGAAUGUGUGGUGUAGCGGUGAAAUGCAUAGAUAUCACACAGAACACCGAUUGCGAAGGCAUCUGACGAAUCGGCGAUUGACGCUGAUGCACGAAAGCGUGGGUAUCGAACAGGAUUAGAUACCCGGGUAGUC
rnacentral:rRNA from 1 species